rnacentral:sRNA from 1 species
AGAUAUUACCCUAAUCUAAUCCAUCCUCAAGAACCCUAAUCACUACUCAAGCAACAUUCUCAAGAACACAAACCCAGAAAUUACUGAAAUCAUACCAAAAUGUAGAUCUAAACAAGCUAAACAACUUUACUUAAACAACUAAAUGCAAAAACGAAAUAGAUUAAGAGUAAUUAAGUAUUGAAGAUUCAUAAACACAACGAAAAACUAAAGGAUAAAAGAUGGAUCCUUUGGACAAAUCCAAAGUGAUAUAUUUCUAGUAAAAUGUUGAAACCCUAGAUUCACUAGAAGACAAGAGAAUUGAGGCGGUUUGGGCAAAUGCUCGAUCUUAGGGAUCGAGUAAAGAGGGUGCUGCAAAGUCUGCGCCUUUGUGUCUAUGCUCCGAGUGAUCAAUUGGUCGAGUAGAUGCUUCUUCCUCUCCUAUCCGUAUGCUCAGAUGUCAGGUUGAGUGGGGAAUGAGGAGGAUCCGAAGACGCUUUGAUAGCUCAACAAGUCUUGUAGAGUUGGUCACCCUUGGUCGAGUAAUGGGUCGGGUAGAGGAUCGAGUAGGAGGGGCGAGUAGAUCAAUUUGCUGCUUCAUCCGAGGCUGCCUUGGUCGAGUAAGAGGGUCAAGUGAAUUGCAGCCUCCUUUGUAGCUGCCUGGAUCGAGUAAAGAGGUCGAGUGAAAUGAUGCCUCUUCUGUAGCUGCCUGGAUCGAGUGAAUGAAUCGAGUAGAGUCCUUUUUAUCUCCUUCUGCACCUGAAAACACACCAAAACAUGCAAUGCGUAUGCAAGAUGAUCCUAGAUGCCUAAGUAUGCGAAAUAAGCUAAAAUGGUGCAAAAAUGAUAUGAUACAAUGAGCAAAUGCAAAUCUAAAUGAUGAUAAACAUACACAUAAAAUGAGUAAAAUACAGUGUUAUCACCUAACCGAAUGGACUGUGUAGGGACAUGACCAACGAGAAGACAAUUUUCCAGG